UGACCUCGGAUCAGGUAGGGAUACCCGCUGAACUUAGGCAUAUCAUA
rnacentral:rRNA from 1 species